UUCUCAAAAAUUCUGUUGGCAAACCUGGUCAAAGAUUUUGGGCCUGCGCACUACAUUUAAGCAAAAUUCCUCAAUCCUCCACUCCUCGCUCCUCGUUCCUCGUUCAUUUAACUGCAAGUUCGACAACUUUCUAAGGCGCCUGCGAGAACACCACCGGGCCGCCACUGAAUGAAAAUGUUGCUCUCCAGAACUGCUGCCUAUUCCGUCAGACUCUCCACAUCCGUGUCGCAGGGUGUCCUCCAACAUCAGGCUGGCGAAAAGCUUGUGUUUCCCUCGGCUGCUCUGCUGGCCGGCUUGGGUCUCGCAGUGUCCACAUUCAGCCUGAAGCAGAUGCUGUCCUCGCCGAGAACGAAGGUGCCCGGUAGAAACU